UCGAUAGAGUGGAAGCGGAGAGAGCCAACGUAGCGGAGUAACUAAUUUCUUUGUGCUGUCACUUUAUUGUGAUCACAGCGAAUGGACGUUAUUCAUGUUGUGCUGGUAGCGUUGAUGAUGCCAACCGAACUGUAUGUUGUUGCCCACAUUUGUGGUGUCUUGCUUGCGGAUAGGUUGGUUGUCAUUGAUGUUUAACUCUGUUCGCAGAGUGCCAGUGUGAAAGUUGGUCACCUUUCCGACCCGUCUUGAAACACGGACCGAGGAGUGUAACUUGUGCGCAAGUCAGAGAGUGAUAAACUCUACGGCGAAAUGAAAGUAAAGACCGGUUAGCUGGUUGACAUAGGAUUCGUUUUUGUAGCGACGCACUAUGGCCCUGUCUUUACUGCUUGCAGUUGGGCAGAGGAAGAGCGUACAGGUUGCGACCCGAAAGAUGGUGAACUAUACUUGAGCAGGACGAAGCCAGAGGAAACUCUGGUGGAAGUCCGUAUCGGUUCUGACGUGCAAAUCGAUCGAUAGACUUGAGUAUAGGGGCGAAAGACUAAUCGAACCAUCUAGUAGCUGG
rnacentral:rRNA from 1 species